UACAGAGGGUGCGAGCGUUGUUCGGAAUUACUGGGCGUAAAGGGCGCGUAGGCGGCCAGCACAAGUCAGUUGUGAAAUCUCCGGGCUUAACUCGGAAAGGUCAACUGAUACUGUGCGGCUAGAGUGCAGAAGGGGCAACUGGAAUUCUCGGUGUAGCGGUGAAAUGCGUAGAUAUCGAGAGGAACACCUGCGGCGAAGGCGGGUUGCUGGGCUGACACUGACGCUGAUGCGCGAAAGCGUGGGGAGCAAACAGG
rnacentral:rRNA from 1 species